ensembl:lncRNA
AUUGGAGGCUGCGUUGCCAGAGCAACGCUCCCCCGCCAUUCUUUCAUUUGCAAUCUGUUCAUCUCUCCAAACCUCAACCACUCUCCUCCGCAUCGCGAGAGUGUAACGCCGGAGCGGCUGAGUUGGAGUGACCUCAUCCCCCCCGCCCCCCGCAGCUGCGACGGCGAGGCGGAGCGAAGUGCUGCUGCAACUUUGGAUGAACUUCUGAGCCCGAGCAGUCGAGAGGCGGACGUUGGAGUACCCAGACGAGUGUCAGUGAGGUGAAGAGACUCGAUGGUUAACGUAUACGUUCAGUCGUAUGUCUUCUUUUUAUUCAACACGGCUCCGUUCUUCGUGACCGUGGUAGCGCCCGAGCCUUUAGCCCCCGGACGGCGGCUCCGCAGUUGAACUUUUGCGAGAAGCCGAAAGGUGGAUAAAUAAAUAAAAGACCACACGGCUGGAGAGCUGGUGAGCCGCCCAGAGUGAGGGAGUACCACCAACGCCCUGAACGGUGGCCCGGUGGUGUCUUCUGGCCGCUCCUCCUUCCCCAUGAUGCUGGUCUUCACCUGAGCCCCUCUUAACCUCCAUCCCGACCAUCCCCUCCCCCCCUCCCCA